GCGGAUGUAGCUCAGUUGGUAGAGCGCAACCUUGCCAAGGUUGAGGUCGCGGGUUCGAGUCUCGUCAUCCGCUCCA
rnacentral:tRNA from 1 species